rnacentral:misc_RNA from 1 species
GAUGAAGAACGUAGCGAAAUGCGAUACGUAAUGUGAAUUGCAGAAUUCAGUGAAUCAUCGAGUCUUUGAACGCACAUUGCGCCCCCUGGUAUUCCGGGGGGCAUGCCUGUCCGAGCGUCAUUGCUGCCCUCAAGCACGACUUGUGUGUUGGGCCUCCGUCCUCCUCCCGGGGGACGGGCCCGAAAGGCAGCGGCGGCACCGCGUCCGGUCCUCGAGCGUAUGGGGCUUCGUCACCCGCUCUUGUAGGCCCGGCCGGCGCUUGCCGACACAUCAAUCUUUUUUCCAGGUUGACCUCGGAUCAGGUAGGGAUACCCGCUGAACUUAAGCAUAUCAAUAAGCGGAGGA